rnacentral:rRNA from 1 species
AUUGAACGCUGGCGGAAUGCUUUACACAUGCAAGUCGAACGGUAGAGGGGGCAACCCCUCGAGAGUGGCGAACGGGUGAGUAAUAUAUCGGAACGUGCCCAGUCGUGGGGGAUAACGUAGCGAAAGUUACGCUAAUACCGCAUACGAUCUAAGGAUGAAAGCGGGGGAUCGCAAGACCUCGCGCGAUUGGAGCGGCCGAUAUCAGAUUAGGUAGUUGGUGGGGUAAAGGCUCACCAAGCCAACGAUCUGUAGCUGGUCAGAGAGGACGACCAGCCGCACUGGAACUGGGACACGGUCCAGACUCCUACGGGAGGCAGCAGUGGGGAAUUUUGGACAAUGGACGCAAGUCUGAUCCAGCCAUUCCGCGUGCAGGAUGAAGGCCCUCGGGUUGUAAACUGCUUUUGUACGGAACGAAAAGGUCUCUCUUAAUACGGGGGACUCAUGACGGUACCGUAAGAAUAAGCACCGGCUAACUACGUGCCAGCCGCCGCAGUAA